rnacentral:lncRNA from 1 species
UUCUAUAGGGCUGGGCACUUAUCGCAUCGCUUAUCAAUAUUGUGAUAACACACGUCCUAUGUGAUUAAAAUGAUAAACUGCUUUCAAAUGUCUAAAAAAAAUGAUAAUUUAGUUGAGACUAUUACUUCCAUUAAUGUCAAACUUAUCAUCAAUUCAACAAGAUAAAUAACUGCUGGUUUGUCUAAAUAGCACAUUUGCUAAGUAUAAUUUGCAGUAUUUGUAUUUGAGAGGCUGCAUUGAUAGAUUUGUAGGCAAAAAUACUAUCAUGAACUGUUAUCUUUUAUCAUAAAUCUUAUUGUUAUCGCAAAAAAUACCACAAAAUGUCGUGAUAGGAUUUUAAGUCCAUAUUGCCCAGUUCUAAUCUUCUAUUUAAUUUUAAUAUUUUUGGGGGCACAAUUAUUAAUUAUAUUGUUGAACAGUCUAGAAUUGAUUAAAGCAAAAUUGAAAGCUUUCACGUAAUGUCAAAAUUGAAAAGCUUCUAUUUUUGGGUUCAUAUAUUUGUCGAUCUGACUCAGAGUAGUCAGUGCCUUACCAAUCAUGAACCUCACUGCAUGUCACUGAUGUGAGUUAUCAAACAUUGCUUAAUCACUUAUUUGGAUUAUGUGUUAAUAUUUUUGACUUUGUUGUGUGAAGAGGUUGAAAAGAACCAAAUUAGGAAACUUCUCUCAUAUUGAGUUCUUAUCUCCACCAGAAUCCCAGUGUUGAUGUUCGACGGGAAUGCAUUCUGAAAGCUGUCUGUGUCUACUUAAAUGAAAAGCCAGAUGACCUGUUCAAGGAAUUUCUUGGAUGUGGAUCUUGGUGCAAGCAGAGCAAUGGAGCAGCUGACUUUGGGAGUCUAUGUUGUCAGACAUGAAGGAGCAAACUCUGCAGAAUUGCCUGAGGACAUUGGUGUCAUCAUAGAAGGAUGCACUGUGCUGCAAGCUCUUAGUAAAGUGCCAAGGGGGUGCGCCCUCCUGCUUGAACUAAUCUACAGUCUAAAUCUGAGCUAUCUAAAGCACCUGAAAUACACAUUUGAAUUUCUUCAGAAGGUGCUGAUGGAGUUGGAUAGGAACAACCUAUCCAUGAAGGUGUAGGUUCUGAAAAACAAACUGCUUGAGUGAAACAGCCUGCAAUGAACUAUGGAGGACACUGAACUGGUUUAAUGUUCUUGAGCUCUUCUCCUUACACUUUAAAAACCGUUCAGUUCGAAUUGCCACAAGAACUUCUGCAAGGCCUUUCACUUUUCUGUGUUCUUUGUUCUUGAACUUUUACCAACAUCCAACACUGAAAAAAAGGGAUUGGCCAACUCUUGGAUUUACGUAAACAUCUUGCGUGUAUUUAACAUAAGUGCCUCAUGCUUUAAAGUUAAGUGUAACUAUAUAGUGUAGAAACUACAUGAUAUGCAGAGAGGCUAGAUUAAAUUGUUCAUAUCAUGUUCGAGUGAAGUAAGUCAAUAACUUUCAGUCUCGUACGCUUUGGAUCGUGGUUUCAGGAAGGCAUCCAUCUCAGUCAAAUCGAGCAAAUUGGGUGGUUGUUACAUUAAAAAAGUCUAACUUGUAAUUUAAACACAAUAAUAUCAUGUUUCUAUAAACGUAAUUAAAUCAUGAAGGAUCUGUAUGAAAUUCAACAACUUAAUUUGUUCUUGUUGAGAUGACAUGAUACAAUCUAGUAAGAGUGGUUAGUUGCUGAACUCAUGAAAUUCACAAGAUCGCACGAGAUGUCAAACUGCUGAUUCUAAAUUACCUGUCAAUGUAAGUGCAAAUGGUUGUUUGUGACAGACUUAUGAGUUGUCCAGGGUGUACCCUGCCUUGUAACCUAUUACUUCAGGGUUAUUUCCCAGCCCCCCUGCAACCAGGAUAAAGAUAGGAGGAUGGUAGUUGUUGUACAUCCAUUCAAUUUUUAUGGUAACCAGGAUCUAGACUUUGUUGAACAUUACAUAAUAUGAAGAGAACAUGUAGUAUUUAAGUGACCAAGUAGUACUGGGGUAAAAGUUAUUGAAUAGUGUUGAAAUAAAAUGACAAAAUUGUGAAGGAUUAAAAUAUUCCAAGAGCUCAACUUACUUCAUCUAAACAUGUUUCAAUCGCGUUUUAUGAACACAAAAUGCACAGGUUUAUUGAAUAUGAAAAAGUUGUGUUGAUUGAACUCAGUUGUUUAAGUUUCUGCCAAAGCAAAAUAUUUGUGUGCAACCGAUGUCCACUAUUGAAUCAAGUAAAUCCAACAUGGCCUUUUUUUCAGUGAACUACACUGAAAAAGACUGCUACUAACUUUGGACUUCAGUUUAAGUUUUGAACAAAAGGUUUUUUUCUAAAUAUGUACAAAAAUGACACUAAAGUAAUUUCUACCUGCUGUUUGCAGGGCUGUAUUGUGGGCUUUUCAUUGUAGCCCAAUCAAGUUUAAAUUAAGUCAUGUUAAUGUUAAAAAUGUUGGAAUCAAAACACUUUCCAGUUUUAAUCAUUUCAGUUUAACAUGACAUUCUGUAUCUUGUCUUCCUGCACUUAAAAUGCACUUGAAUGUAUGUAAAGAUUGUUUAGGGAAAAAAAUCUUGAAGCAUUUGAAUUGCUCAAAGUUUGCUUCAACAAGUUUUACACGAAGGUGUUAUUAAAGUUAGGUUAACUGAACAAACUUCUGUUCAAUUUAUUUAAUUUACAAACUUAAAUAGAGUAAGUUGCAAUUUUGUUAAAGUGAUUUAAUC